rnacentral:rRNA from 1 species
UAAUACGAAGGUCCCAAGCGUUGUUUUGGGAAUCACUGGGCGUAAAGGGAGCGUAGGGCGGGCGUGGUAAGUCAGAUGUGAAAUUCCGGGGCUCAAUCCCGGAACUGCAUCCGAUACUGCCAUGCUAGAGGAUUGGAGAGGUAGCUGGAAUUCUUGGUGUAGCAGUGAAAUGCGUAGAGAUCAAGAGGAACACUCGUGGCGAAAGCGAGCCACUGGACAAUUCCUGACGCUGAGGCUCGAAGGCUAGGGUAGCGAAAGGGAUUAGAUACCCCUGUAGUCCUAGCAGUAAACGGUGCACGCUUGGUGUGAGGGGAAUCGACCCCCCUUGUGCCGGAGCUAACGCGUUAAGCGUGCCGCCUGGGAAGUACGGUCGCAAGACUAAAACUCAAAGAAAUUGACGGGGACCCGCACAAGCGGUGGAGUAUGUGGCUUAAUUCGAUGCAACGCGAAGAACCUUACCAAGGCUUGACAUGCAUCUCUAAACACGUGAAAGCGUGUGACCCUUCGGGGAAUUUGCACAGGUGCUGCAUGGCCGUCGUCAGCUCGUGUCGUGAGAUGUUGGGUUAAGUCCCGCAACGAGCGCAACCCUUGUGAUUAGUUGCCAGCACGUUAAGGUGGGAACUCUAGUCAGACUGCCCAGAUCAACUGGGAGGAAGGUGGGGACGACGUCAGGUCAGUAUGGCCCUUACGCCUUGGGCUGCACACGUACUACAAUGCCCAGCACAAUGAGAAUCGAGACCGCGAGGUGGAGGAAAUCUAGAAAACUGAGCCCAGUUCGGAUUGGAGGCUGCAACUCGCCUCCAUGAAGUUGGAAUCGCUAGUAAUGGCACAUCAGCUACGGUGCCGUGAAUACGUUCCCGGGUCUUGUACACACCGCCCGUC